rnacentral:rRNA from 1 species
UACGUAGGGGGCAAGCGUUGUCCGGAAUUACUGGGCGUAAAGCGCGUGUAGGCGGGACGGUUAGUCGGACGGGAAAGGCUGGGGCUCAACCCCAGAUCGCCGUUCGAAACUGCCGUUCUUGAGGGUCGAAGAGGAGAGUGGAAUUCCUGGUGUAGCGGUGAAAUGCGUAGAGAUCAGGAGGAACACCCAUGGCGAAGGCAGCUCUCUGGUCGACAUCUGACGCUGAGACGCGAAAGCGUGGGGAGCAAACAGG